GUUUUUUCAAAAGUGCCUGUUUCCCAAGCAGAUGUCAAUGAAGAGCUUGAGGUGACAAAUGUGACUUACACAAAGAAACAUCAAGGUGCAUCAAAAUCCUGCGAGAUGAUCAUGUGAACCCAAAACACGACAUGCGGAUUCCACAAUUCGGACCAGAUGCCAAAAUAGCAGUCAGACGAUUCCACCCGAGUGCAAAAGCCAAACCAGAGCCAUCACGGAAGGUGAAGCCAGAGGAGUCUUCCAGGAUUGAAACGACGACAUCACGUGGUCCAUGACGGAUUUGGGAGUGAAUCGGGACGGGCGGCUCUGGCAUGCACAGAUAACCCACUUGGCAUAAAGAGGAGCUACACAAUCCACAUAUUACACCCUGCUGCUGUUUUCAGGAGGUCCAUAAACGAGGGAAGGAGUGGAUUUGGGCUCCGAGCCUCCGGUUUUGGGGGCCGUGGCCUGAGAUGCCAGGGGCCGGUUGGUCGGUGUGUUUGGGAAGAGGGUAUCAGGAAGGCUUAAGCUCAAACAUACAA